ensembl:lncRNA
CACAAUUCAAAGACCACCUAUUCCUUUUUCUGCCUACAUCUGUCUAGUGUCAUUCGCCUGCAUUCCCCUGUUUUCUUUGAUCUGUCUAUUCCAGCUUACCUCGAGUAGUAGGUCUAUGUUCAGCACACUUGGGUAGUAGGUCUAUGUUCAACACACUCUGGUAGUAGGUCUAUGUUCAACACUCUUGGGUAGUAGGUCUAUGUUCAACACACUUGGGUAGUAGGUCUAUGUUCAACACACUCAAGUCUUCAUAAAGACCCAGAUCCUCCACACCAAAUCUGCAUUUAUAACUUUUAGUGUUUUGUUUGGUUUGUACACUGUCAGAGUCCCUUGUCUGUUAGGGGAAGGGUUUCCAAACUGUGGUUUGGGAUUCAACUAUGUAUGGAAUAACAUUUCUGUAAUAUAGAAAGGGUGCAGAACAUAUAUUAGACAUAAAUAUAUUUUUUAUUACCUCAGAAAACUUACAAUCACCAAAAUAAAACUGUGAUAAUCAGG